rnacentral:rRNA from 1 species
CCUACGGGAGGCUGCAGUGGGGAAUAUUGGACAAUGGGGGCAACCCUGAUCCAGCCAUGCCGCGUGUGUGAAGAAGGCCCUCGGGUUGUAAAGCACUUUCAGUGAGGAAGAACGCCUGGUGGUUAAUACCCAUCAGGAAAGACAUCACUCACAGAAGAAGCACCGGCUAACUCCGUGCCAGCAGCCGCGGUGAUACGGAGGGUGCGAGCGUUAAUCGGAAUUACUGGGCGUAAAGCGCGCGUAGGUGGCUUGAUAAGCCGGUUGUGAAAGCCCCGGGCUCAACCUGGGAACGGCAUCCGGAACUGUCAAGCUAGAGUGCAGGAGAGGAAGGUAGAAUUCCCGGUGUAGCGGUGAAAUGCGUAGAGAUCGGGAGGAAUACCAGUGGCGAAGGCGGCCUUCUGGACUGACACUGGCACUGAGGUGCGAAAGUGUGGGUAGCAAACAGGAUUAGAUACCCUGGUAGUC